GACCUGGUAGCAUAAUGCUAGUGCGUCUGCUUCAUGUUGUCGAUAAAGGUAGAACUUUAAGCAGAAAGUCCCUGUUCAAUUCGGGGUCGGGUCA